GCAGUCGAGCGGAUGAGAGGAGCUUGCUCCUUGAUUUAGCGGCGGACGGGUGAGUAAUGCCUAGGAAUCUGCCUGGUAGUGGGGGAUAACGUCCGGAAACGGGCGCUAAUACCGCAUACGUCCUACGGGAGAAAGCAGGGGACCUUCGGGCCUUGCGCUAUCAGAUGAGCCUAGGUCGGAUUAGCUAGUUGGUGAGGUAAUGGCUCACCAAGGCGACGAUCCGUAACUGGUCUGAGAGGAUGAUCAGUCACACUGGAACUGAGACACGGUCCAGACUCCUACGGGAGGCAGCAGUGGGGAAUAUUGGACAAUGGGCGAAAGCCUGAUCCAGCCAUGCCGCGUGUGUGAAGAAGGUCUUCGGAUUGUAAAGCACUUUAAGUUGGGAGGAAGGGUUGUAGAUUAAUACUCUGCAAUUUUGACGUUACCGACAGAAUAAGCACCGGCUAACUUCGUGCCAGCAGCCGCGGUAAUACGAAGGGUGCAAGCGUUAAUCGGAAUUACUGGGCGUAAAGCGCGCGUAGGUGGUUCGUUAAGUUGGAUGUGAAAGCCCCGGGCUCAACCUGGGAACUGCAUCCAAAACUGGCGAGCUAGAGUACGGUAGAGGGUGGUGGAAUUUCCUGUGUAGCGGUGAAAUGCGUAGAUAUAGGAAGGAACACCAGUGGCGAAGGCGACCACCUGGACUGAUACUGACACUGAGGUGCGAAAGCGUG
rnacentral:rRNA from 1 species